GACGAACGCUGGCGGCGUGCUUAACACAUGCAAGUCGAACGGAAAGGCCCUGCUUUUGUGUGGUGCUCGAGUGGCGAACGGGUGAGUAACACGUGAGUAACCUGCCCUUGACUUUGGGAUAACUUCAGGAAACUGGGGCUAAUACCGGAUAGGAGCUCCUGCUGCAUGGUGGGGGUUGGAAAGUUUCGGCGGUUGGGGAUGGACUCGCGGCUUAUCAGCUUGUUGGUGGGGUAGUGGCUUACCAAGGCUUUGACGGGUAGCCGGCCUGAGAGGGUGACCGGCCACAUUGGGACUGCGAUACGGCCCAGACGCCUACGGGAGGCAGCAGUGGGGAAUAUUGCACAAUGGGCGGAAGCCUGAUGCAGCAACGCCGCGUGCGGGAUGACGGCCUUCGGGUUGUAAACCGCUUUCGCCUGUGACGAAGCGUGAGUGACGGUAAUGGGUAAAGAAGCACCGGCUAACUACGUG
rnacentral:rRNA from 1 species